rnacentral:rRNA from 1 species
CCUACGGGAGGCUGCAGUGAGGAAUAUUGGUCAAUGGACGAGAGUCUGAACCAGCCAAGUAGCGUGAAGGAUGACUGCCCUAUGGGUUGUAAACUUCUUUUAUAUGGGAAUAAAACGUUCCACGUGUGGGAUUUUGUAUGUACCAUAUGAAUAAGGAUCGGCUAACACCGUGCCAGCAGCCGCGGUAAUACGGAGGAUCCGAGCGUUAUCCGGAUUUAUUGGGUUUAAAGGGAGCGUAGGUGGAUUGUUAAGUCAGUUGUGAAAGUUUGCGGCUCAACCGUAAAAUUGCAGUUGAAACUGGCAGUCUUGAGUACAGUAGAGGUGGGCGGAAUUCGUGGUGUAGCGGUGAAAUGCUUAGAUAUCACGAAGAACUCCGAUUGCGAAGGCAGUUCACUGGACUGCAACUGACACUGAGGCUCGAAAGUGUGGGUAUCAAACAGGAUUAGAUACCCGGGUAGUC